CCUACGGGAGGCAGCAGUGAGGAAUAUUGGUCAAUGGUCGGGAGACUGAACCAGCCAAGCCGCGUGAGGGAUGAAGGUACAGAGUAUCGUAAACCUCUUUUGUCAGGGAACAAAGACGGGGACGCGUCCCCGGAUGAGUGUACCUGAAGAAAAAGCAUCGGCUAACUCCGUGCCAGCAGCCGCGGUAAUACGGAGGAUGCGAGCGUUAUCCGGAUUUAUUGGGUUUAAAGGGUGCGCAGGCGGUCGGGUAAGUCAGCGGUAAAAGCCACGGGCUCAACCCCGGCCCGCCGUUGAAACUGGCAGUCUCGAGUGGGAGAGAAGUAUGCGGAAUGCGCGGUGUAGCGGUGAAAUGCAUAGAUAUCGCGCAGAACUCCGAUUGCGAAGGCAGCAUGCCGGCUCCACACUGACGCUGAGGCACGAAAGCGUGGGUAUCGAACAGGAUUAGAUACCCCUGUAGUC
rnacentral:rRNA from 1 species